rnacentral:rRNA from 1 species
GAAGGGAGCUUGCUCCCGGAUGUUAGCGGCGGACGGGUGAGUAACACGUGGGUAACCUGCCUGUAAGACUGGGAUAACUCCGGGAAACCGGAGCUAAUACCGGAUAGUUCCUUGAACCGCAUGGUUCAAGGAUGAAAGACGGUUUCGGCUGUCACUUACAGAUGGACCCGCGGCGCAUUAGCUAGUUGGUGGGGUAAUGGCUCACCAAGGCGACGAUGCGUAGCCGACCUGAGAGGGUGAUCGGCCACACUGGGACUGAGACACGGCCCAGACUCCUACGGGAGGCAGCAGUAGGGAAUCUUCCGCAAUGGACGAAAGUCUGACGGAGCAACGCCGCGUGAGUGAUGAAGGUUUUCGGAUCGUAAAGCUCUGUUGUUAGGGAAGAACAAGUGCGAGAGUAACUGCUCGCACCUUGACGGUACCUAACCAGAAAGCCACGGCUAACUACGUGCCAGCAGCCGCGGUAAUACGUAGGUGGCAAGCGUUGUCCGGAAUUAUUGGGCGUAAAGGGCUCGCAGGCGGUUUCUUAAGUCUGAUGUGAAAGCCCCCGGCUCAACCGGGGAGGGUCAUUGGAAACUGGGAAACUUGAGUGCAGAAGAGGA